AAUGGAUUAUGGAACAAUAGGAGAAGAAUUACUACAUCAGUGCAAUAGCAGGGGCUAACAAUGGAAGUUAACUAGUUGUAAUGUCUAAGGGUUAGUCCAAAUGUCUUUAAGAAGGAAUGAUUUUCUGAUGGAAUAACAUCUAGCAGUAUACCACCCAUUGAGGACAAUGAUUAUAACACUUGUGUUACAAAAAAUGAUGUGGUAGAAAAAACAUCUGAUGAGGUGGAGGCAGGCUGGAAUAUGUUCCCUGUCACACCACAGCCACUAGGUUGCAACACGUUAUCCCCAUUACACUCGCAAAUGCAAGCAGAUCACUGCUUUCGUUACAAGUCUAGCAGUCAAAAUAAUCUUUCUUUUGACGAUGAAACCCAGGAAAACAUGGUCUCUGCACAGUUUGAUCAAGAGUAUCAAGAUUUGUUGUGGCUUGAAGAUAUCAUCAAUCCAAAGGAUUCACCAGGGUUGUUAAAAUCAGGAUCACAUCUAGAUCUGAGGGAGGGUCUUUGGAUCAAGCCUAUUUUUGGAUGCUUUCUUUAAUUUGUUUAAUUUUUUGUUUACCACUAUGUUAAGUGAUGAUUGUAGAAAGAUGUCCUAUGUAAUUAUUUUUUUCAAUAUCAGAUUUGUUAUAAAGUGGGAAGCAGCAUUGAAUUACAAAGGU